rnacentral:lncRNA from 1 species
CUUGCUACCAUUCGUGAGAGCAUUAGUACGCUAAUCAAGCAUUAACAUUAAUCAAAGAGAUAUUCAAUCCUACUCUGAACAUGUCUGGAUGACAGAAGAGCCAAGAUGCUGACAGAUAUAUAUGCCUUACUUGCAAAAGCAUCAUUAUUAGUAGAUCUUGCACCAAUCACAGCAGUGGGGGAGGAAUUUUAGGAAAAUAGGUUUAAAAUAGACCAAGUUUAACAGACAUGAGCAAAAUGGAUUGACAGUUGUCAGAGCUAAAUACACUCAGUUACACAAUGGAGCUUCUGCUUUCUGGCAGAUGACUGGUUUAUUUUAAAAUCAUUUUAUAUAUCUAAUUUCUUCUCCUUUGCCUUUGUGACCCUUCAUGGAUGAUACAAAUUUUGAGAGAGAUCUGAGAUUCUGACACUGGAAUUCUGGAAGUGCAGGCAGUAUUUUGCAGAUUUCCCACAAGAAAGUACCCUCUCAGCUCAGAAGUUUCUCAAGCACCUAUGACUUGGCUGAUAGAAAAGGGAGCAUAUUAUUUUUAACUGAACUGCCACGGAUAUAAUAAAGUCUGCAAUAAAUUAAAUGAGAAAGUCAGACACCUGUUCUACCCCCUUGUUCACUACAGGGCAGUCUUCAGAGGUGAGCACAGGCACGAGGGAACGUUUACGGUGCAGGAACAAAGACACCAUUGACCCCUGACAUCAUUUAAAGCUACUUGAUGCCAAGGACUUCCUCACUUUAUACGGAUAUUGAAACAAAUAAGUCAUGGAAAUGAUGACUGACCCCAGCCAUAUGGGAACAGAGAGAUUAGCUGCUAAUAUGGAAAGUUACCUGGCCAGUGUUGAGAUCAGUCCCAAGGGAAGUGGAAAGAUCACAGGGAGGACUGCCGAAGCCGUGAGGGACCCCAUCUGCAGAGCCGAAUCACAGAGUCUUUGAGGUUGGAAGAGAUUGCCUCUUGUCCUGUCACUGGAUUCCACUGACCCAUCUUCUUGUCUGCUUCCCAUCAGGUAUUUUAUGCAUUAAAAAGUGCCCCAGGAGGCUUUUCUUCUAUAGGAUAAGCACUCCCAGCCCUCUGCACCUCUUAGUAAAUCAGAUGCUCUGGUCCCUGUUGCCCUUUGCUGGACUUAACCCCAGUAUACCCAUGUCUCUGUUGUACUGGGAAGCCCAGAAACCUUUAAAAACAGCCCAUCAGACAUUAUAAACUUAAUCUGAUGUUCAGUACUUCUGACACUGGAUCUUCUGGUCCUUUGCUGUCUCUCCUGGGCUUUUUCUGUCUG